rnacentral:ncRNA from 1 species
UCCGAAAAAGUCAAACCGUUCGUGAGGAGGGGGCGGAAAGCCAACGGGUCUUUCAGGAGAAAGACAGCCGGGCUGCCGGAA